UAGCACUAUAUAUAUAUAUAUCUUAUGAUGAAUUUGUAUGCUGAAGGAAGCAGAUAAUGCCUCAUCUCAAAAUAAUAAUUAGAAAAGUAAAACAAAAUUAGAAGUGAUAUUUCAUUUUAAAAAUAAUGCAGAAUAGAAGUGCUGGCCUAUUUGACUACAUUGUUCAAGAAUUGAUUGUGUGGUGUGGGUCAAACAGGGGCCAUUAAAACAUUCAAUGUGAUGAUAUUUCAUAUUAGUAAAAUAAGAGCAUCUGGGUUUUUUGUUUGUUUUGUAACAGGGCUUUUCCCUUUUACCUUUACCCACAGGCUCGCAAGAGAAUCUUAUUUUUCUUUAAAAGAAGAGUCUAGUUCUCAAGGUUUGGAUCCAACCAAGAUUAGUACUAACUACAAUGGUUUCUUAGCUACUCGUUGUUGGAUAGCUUCUGUCCAGUUCUUUCCAUAUAACUCUAAAAUCUCCUCUAUAAAUGGCACUGUUGGCUUUGCUAACUGAGACACUGGAAAUGGAGUGAUCCUGGAUGUGCACCACCCUCCCCAUCCCUGCAGGGGCCUCUCUGGGUAAGCAUUUGAAACAAAAUGGUGAAAUUAUCUCUGUGGAGCUGUAAAUUUAUGUGAUAAGCUGCUAUUCUGCCAAGGCACACAGACAUGAUCAUCCUUCCAGUCCAAGAGCUCUCCAGAUGAUACGUACUUUGGGGAUGUAUAUAAAUGAUCAACUCAUUUUAACUUGGCAGCUAAUGGGAUUUUGAGUUUAUGUCAGCAGAAAAUACCAGUGACCUAAUGUUUGUGCCCCUUACCUCCCCAGAGAGUGACAUUAUUGAAACAAAACGGCCACUCAUCCUAGAAUGACAGGUUUGCUAUGUACAGUUAGCCACGUAUGCCGUAUACAAAGACAUAAGAACACAUGGUAGAACAAAUAUUUUUAUUAAAUGUCUCUUGUGGUAGCUGUCUCUUCCUUAGCUACACUUCAUAAACAGAUGCUGCAAGUACGUUAAUGAUGUAGUUAGAAAAAUCAACCUAGUAGUUCCUGUGGCUAUGACUAAGAAUCUAGUUUGCCUUUGUACUUUGCAAAUGCAGUUGUUCAGCAGCAAUAAAAGACUUGGACUGAGUGAAGAAUAAUUACUU
rnacentral:lncRNA from 1 species